rnacentral:rRNA from 1 species
GGCUCUUUGGUAAUAAUAUAUAGGGAGUCGGACCUGCCCGGUGGCUUUGUGUAAAGUUAAACGGCUGCGGUACCCUGACCGUGCAAAGGUAGCAGAAUAAUUUGUCUUUUAAUUGGAGGAUAGUAUGAAUGGUUUGACGAGAGUUGAGCUGUCUCCUUUAAAAUAUUUAGAAAUUAACUUUUAGGUGAAGAGGCCUAAAUUAUGUUAAGGGACGAGAAGACCCUAUCGAACUUUAGUAAUUUUUGAGUUUAGGGGGCUUAGUCAUAUAUGUUAUAAGUCUACACUUUGGGGGAAUCUUUAAUUGGGAGGGUUCAGGAAUAUGAAGAAUUUCCUGUUAUGUUUGUUUGCUUUCUUGUUUUAGUUGAUCCAGUUUGUUGCUGAUUAAAGGAAGAAGUUACCGUAGGGAUAACAGCGUAAUCUUCUCUGAGAGGGCGUAUUGAAGAGGGGGUUUGCGACCUCGAUGUUGGAUUAAGAUAUCCUGAAGGUGUAGAGGCUUUCGAGGGUUGAUC